rnacentral:rRNA from 1 species
AUUGAACGCUGGCGGAAUGCUUUACACAUGCAAGUCGAACGGCAGCACGGGGCAACCUGGUGGCGAGUGGCGAACGGGUGAGUAAUACAUCGGAACGUGCCCAAUCGUGGGGGGAUAACGUAGCGAAAGUUACGCUAAUACCGCAUACGAUCUACGGAUGAAAGCGGGGGAUCGCAAGACCUCGCGCGAAUGGAGCGGCCGAUGUCAGAUUAGGUAGUUGGUGGGGUAAAGGCUCACCAAGCCGACGAUCUGUAGCUGGUCUGAGAGGACGACCAGCCACACUGGGACUGAGACACGGCCCAGACUCCUACGGGAGGCAGCAGUGGGGAAUUUUGGACAAUGGGCGCAAGCCUGAUCCAGCCAUUCCGCGUGCAGGAUGAAGGCCUC